AGCUAUAUGUGGUGCUUUUGGUAC
rnacentral:siRNA from 1 species